rnacentral:tRNA from 1 species
GCGAGUUAGUAUAUCAAAUACCUUUAAUUUAGGCUUAAAAAAAAGACUAGAAAUCUACUUGCA